GCUAUUGGAGUUCGAUUAAGACAUGCGAGUCUGAGCAUUAGCUCGGCGUACCGCUCAGUAACACGUGGGUAACCUGCCCUACUGUUCGGAAUAACCUCGGGAAACUGAGAACAAUGCCGAAUAGUCCACCACGCCUGGAACGGUGGGUGGAUGAAGGUAGGAUGGGCCUGCGGCGUAUCAGGUUGUAGGGGGUGUAAUGGACCUCCUAGCCAUCGACGCGUACGGGUGUUGGGAGACAUAGCCCGGAGAUGGAUUCUGAGACACGAAUCCAGGCCCUACGGGGCGCAGCAGUUACGAAAACUUGGCAAUGCGGGAAACCGUGACCAGGGAACUCCAAGUGAGUCUCUUUUAGGGGCUCUUUUCAUGACUCUAAAACGGUCUUGGAAUAAGGGGUGGGUAAGGACGGUGCCAGCCGCCGCGGUAAUACCGGCGCCUCAAGUGGUCGUCGCUUUUAUUGGGCCUAAAACGUCCGUAGCCGGUUUGGUACAUUCGUGGGUAAAUCAACUCGCUCAACGAGUUGAAUUCUGCGAGGACGGCCAGACUAGGGACCGGGAGAGGUGUGGGGAACUCUCAGGGUAGGGGUAAAAUCCUGUCAUCCUGAGAGGACCACCUGUUGCGAAGGCGCCACACUAGAACGGAUCCGACGGUCAGGGACGAAGCCUAGGGGCACGAACCGGAUUAGAUACCCGGGUAGUCCUAGGUGUAAACGCUGUGGACUUGGUGUUGGGGAAGACUAGAGCUUUCCCAGUGCCGUAGCGAAGGUGUUGAGUCCACUGCCUGGGGAGUACGGUCGCAAGGCUGAAACUUAAAGGAAUUGGCGGGGGAGCACUGC
rnacentral:rRNA from 1 species